GGGAUUGUGGCUCAGUGGUAGAGCGCUCGCCUGGUGUGGGUGGGACCUGGGUUCGAUCCUCAGCACCA
rnacentral:tRNA from 1 species